UGGGGAAUAUUGGACAAUGGGCGCAAGCCUGAUCCAGCAAUGCCGCGUGUGUGAAGAAGGCCUUCGGGUUGUAAAGCACUUUUAUCAGGAGCGAAACGCUGUCGGCUAAUACCCGGCGGAACUGACGGUACCUGAGGAAUAAGCACCGGCUAACUUCGUGCCAGCAGCCGCGGUAAUACGAAGGGUGCAAGCGUUAAUCGGAAUUACUGGGCGUAAAGCGUGCGUAGGCGGUUUCUUAAGUCUGCUGUGAAAUCCCCGGGCUCAACCUGGGAAUGGCAGUGGAUACUGGGAGGCUAGAGUGUGUCAGAGGGUGGUGGAAUUCCCGGUGUAGCGGUGAAAUGCGUAGAGUCGGGAGGAACAUCAGUGGCGAAGGCGGCCACCUGGGACAACACUGACGCUGAGGCACGAAAGCGUGGGGAGCAAACAGGAUUAGAUACCCUGGUAGUCCACGCCCUAAACGAUGCGAACUGGAUGUUGGUCUCAACUCGGAGAUCAGUGUCGAAGCUAACGCGUUAAGUUCGCCGCCU
rnacentral:rRNA from 1 species